AACGAACGCUGGCGGCAUGCCUAACACAUGCAAGUCGAACGAUACCUUCGGGUCUAGUGGCGCACGGGUGCGUAACGCGUGGGAACCUGCCCUUAGGUUCGGAACAACUCCCCGAAAGGGGUGCUAAUACCGGAUAAUGUCUUCGGACCAAAGAUUUAUCGCCUUUGGAUGGGCCCGCGUUGGAUUAGCUAGUUGGUAGGGUAAAAGCCUACCAAGGCGACGAUCCAUAGCUGGUAUGAGAGGAUGAUCCGCCACACUGGGACUGAGACGCGGCGCAGACUCCUACGGGAGGCAGCAGUGGGGAAUAUUGGAAAGUGGGCGAAAGGAUGAUCCAGCAAUGCCGCGUGAGUGAUGAAGGCCUUAGGGUUGUAAAGCUCUUUUACCCGGGAUGAUAAUGACAGUACCGGGAGAAUAAGCUCCGGCUAACUCCGUG
rnacentral:rRNA from 1 species